GGCGCAGGUACAAUCCAUAUUGAUUUAUCUAGGCGUGGAGCGAGGACCUUUUGAGCAUGGAUGUUAGUAGUUAUGAAUGCCCUUUUUCAUCAGACAAGCAGUUUCUGAACAGCUAGGUGGAAAACUUUUGGAAAUGGUUGGUGUGUGUUUUGGUCUUGGUUAAAUUUAGUCUUGGAUUUGCUGUGCUAAGAUAAUUUUUCAAUGCUGUGUUGUGCUUAGUUUCUUUAGUUAUGUUGAUGUUGGG
rnacentral:misc_RNA from 1 species